AGUGAGGCCGGCGUCGGAAACGGCCAGCUGCACUUCCGUGGAAGCGUGUUACGGAGAAGCCGGUGGAGCCGACAGUUGACGUCUGAACCCUGCAAGGAUUCGUUUAUUUCUGCUAGCUAAGCACAGUCUCUUCAGAGCACAAGUGUGUAGCGUUUGUCAAAAACAGUAUCAGCGAAACUAGACGGUCAGAAACGGGGAAUGAGGGCCCUAACUUCAUUGCCCCCCGCAGACAUCCAGCCUGGCCGGGACUGAAUAAUAUUCCACUGCCAGUAUAUGCCACAUUUUGUUCAGCACAUACAGAGCCAAACAGCAAGGAAAAGAGUGCAGGAAGGAGGAGUCAAACAGCCAGCACAGAGCACACUUCUUAGAAAAGGAUGCAAGAGUUGUUUCCCAGAAAGAACAGAAUUUCUGCAAGACAAAGGAGCUGAGAUUCUGAAGGGCCCAGAACAGACUUCCUGACACCAAGAUGCAGUGUCCCUGGCUGACCGGCCCCAGCGCGCAGCCCCUGUUAAAAAGCCCGCACUUUCUGUGAGUCGGAGAGGUGGGUGGGAGGCUGCCCCUCCCACCAUCCUGGCUGACAGCAAUCGCAGCAAUCCCUUUCUUCCCCGGCAACCCGGCUCAGCAACUGGCUUUCCGGCAGCGAGAAGCAGGGCGGAGGCCAGACCCUCUGGGGUUUGAAACACCCCCAUCAAUAGUAUGUGUCAUUAUUGUCAUUUAACAGAUUAAGACUGAGACUCAGAGGAUUAAAUAGAGCUGACCAAGUGUAUUAGUCAGAAUAAGCUGUGUUGUCCUGUGCUAAAAACAAAACAAAACAAAAAAAAAACUGUAAAAUCCUGGUGCCUGCACACACAUGCUCUUGCUCACAGUGUCCCACGUGGGUGUCAGAGAACUCUGCUCUCCGCCUCCACGUCGGGCCCAGCACGACGGAGCUUUGCUGCCCUGCAUCGCCCGCGUGGGGAGCACGUGUCCUUCUGUGCAGCCGCGGCAGAAGGAAAGGAGUGGACCAGUGGUCGGGAUGUUUUGCUGGCUCGUGACAGGAGCCAUUGCCACUCCCUGCCCAUUGGCAGCAUUGGCGGUGUGACUCUCCGCCUGCAGCGGCCAGGAGUGCAGGUCUCUGUGUGGGCAGGACAGGAGAGAAGCUGGCAAUGUCCACUGAGCCAGAGUGGUCAGGAGCAGAGCGGGCUCCCAAACCCAAGCGGUGCAUGUUUCCUUUUAGUGUUCCUUUGAAGUAGCCAGAGUAAAUGGCUUGGAGUAAAAAAUUCAGCUAGGGUCUAGUGCAAUGACCUUGGGCCAGUUGCUUUACUUACCUGAGUUUCAGUCUGCUCACUUGUAAACAGGAAUAAUAAAAUCUGCCUAAAGGUUGCUGUGUUGUGAGGAUUACGAGAGCUCGUGAAUAUUAAGCGUGGCAUGCAGCACCCAGCACACACUAGGCACACAUUGUUGCUGCAGUAGUGAGCGAGUCAGUCACUUGACCGCCCCCCACCCCGAAUCUCCUCUGUGGGCUCUUGGGCUGGAUCUAGAAACCAGACUGACACCAGGCAGAGGGACAAGAGGGAAGCUGGCAAGCGAUCUUCACAGGAGAGUGGAGUCUGAAGCAGUAGCCAAAGCAAGAUGCGUUCACACUUUUAGACCAAGAAAGAGAGAUUGAGGAAGAAAUGACAGGACAAAGGGGGUGUGGCUAGAAGCAGCAAAUUUCUGGGGGAGUCAUAGGAGAUACAUGGGGAGUAUAAACAGCUGGUAGCUAAGCAUUGCUUCAUUGAGCAUGUGUGUUCAGGUCCACUGCAGCCUCAGUGCCCAGCUCUGGUGCUGAGCGCUAUUCACUGGCCCUGGUACAGGGAGGGGCCUCCGGAGGGGGCUCCACUCUUAUUGCAGGCAGGAGGAGACAGGUCAGCACACUUUUCCUAAAACUACAAUUUCUCCAAUGUUUUCAACUUGACAUAAUCAAUACACCGGUUGGGCAUAUUUUGGGAUGGAACAUCCUUCACUCCUUUCACUGUUGAGGUUGUAGUUUCAAAGCCAUACAAUACUGUUGUGGCCUUUUCUUUGAUGUCAGGAGCAGACAGUGCUGGCUGGCUGAUCAAAACACCUGCCUCUUCUCUGUGGAUCUCAGAGCUUGUCAGAAUGACACUCCGAUGACCUAACUUUACCUCUGACACCGUGCUGGGGCUGACAGUUUAUCACACUGUCGCUGACGAAAGCCUCUCGUGGACGCACCAGCGAGUCUAGGUUCUUAUUAUGAACUCACUAUUUUAUCCAGCAAUUCAGCACAUACUUAUUAAGCACCUCCCUGGAUUAUUAGGUGCUAUUCUCUGUGCUGAGAAUAAAGUGGUAGAAAAAACAAAUAAGACUCCUGCUCUCAUGGCGCUUCCAGUCAUUGAAGAAUCACACAGUUCUCUCGCAGUGUCUUUGGAAAUGCAGGAAGAGAAAACACUCCUUGCAGGUGAAGUGAGCCGGGAGCUCUCCGGCAAACAGCACUGUCACGCUCUGUACCCACAUUGGAGCGUGGCUUCAGGCACACCCAUCUGGGACACCUCGUAGGUGAGCCUGCUGCCAUGCGCCAGCCACCCAGGCCCCCAGGACGCCCCACUCGCAUGGCCUCGAGGCAUUCACCCGCUUCUAACCAUCCCACCUACCAGCCACAUAAUUCAAAUAAACCCUGGCCCCUUCUGACCCUCUGCAAGUUGCCCUCCACCCCAGCACGGUGGGCGGCGUGUGCUCCUCCAUACAGUGGCCGGAAACCUAAGCCUCGCCUGGCUCAGGUUGCCGGCUUGUUGGAAGCGCAGCUCGGGCGGCAGCCCCCCAGUUGCCAGAGAGAGCCACAAGCUUCCUGGCUGCACGGGACUCCGGGAGCCACUCAUGGGAGGUCAGGCUGGAGUCUGUUUGUUCACCUUCCCCGGUGAUUCCAUGAGCCAUUUAAUAUCCUGUAAUAAAUCCCUUUCUGCUCACGCUACCGAGAGUGGAUUUGGUGCUAUAACCAAACCUAACCCACACUGAGAGUGGCCUCAGGAGGGCUGGCGAAGAGAGCCUUGGGAAAGAAAACCUAAGACCCAUUAGCUCAGUGGUUUUCACACUCCUGGGUCCAAAUGUAUACAGAUAGUUUUUCAAAAAUUUCUUUCCAGAUCCUCACCUUCUAUAUACACUCUUGCCUCACGGAUGUGGUUGAAUGCAUACAUUGUAAAAGAAAGCAAUUGCCCUGAGCCUUCCCAAAUUUACUUGUGAGUUUAGAGACCUUCAAAUGCCAAACACAAGGAAAGGCUUUUCUGAUAACUAACCAGGCACCCUAAACCCUCCUGCCUUUCCAUCUCUCCUUGUCUCUGGUACUUCCUGCUAAGGUAGAGGCUUGGCUUUAGUAACUGAGCAUUUUGCCUGUGCUGUGCUGUCCUGAAUUCAGAUAGAUGAUAAAGUGAUGUGGUGAGAGUAAUGCCCAGCAUUGUGUAAUGACUUCAUCUCUGACACCCUUCAAUUACUGUCUGCUAUCAAAGAAGGCAUCUUUCCAGAGGAGUCCUGUGAGUACUUGAGUAAGAAAUGCUAUGCGAUUUUGGAAACAGAACUAGGAAAGAAUUGGACGAAUUGACUGACAUUUCUAUAACAAAACCCUUCCCAUUCCCAUCAGCUUUAUUUUGUGAUCAGGGCUUUCCAAAGCACAAAAAGUAGGAAAAGACUUAAGGCAGGACCAAGUUGCAUUCUGGUAUAUUCAUCCUGCUACCUUUUAAAAAAUUCAUCAUAUAAAUGAUGCAUUUCGAAUAAAAUUUGUUCCUUGUAUUUAGUAACACAAUUGUGUUUCAUCAAUAUGUGUAAUAGA